UACGUAGGGCGCAAGCGUUAUCCGGAAUUAUUGGGCGUAAAGAGCUCGUAGGCGGUUUGUCGCGUCUGCCGUGAAAGUCCGGGGCUUAACUCCGGAUCUGCGGUGGGUACGGGCAGACUAGAGUGCAGUAGGGGAGACUGGAAUUCCUGGUGUAGCGGUGAAAUGCGCAGAUAUCAGGAGGAACACCGAUGGCGAAGGCAGGUCUCUGGGCUGUAACUGACGCUGAGGAGUGAAAGCAUGGGGAGCGAACAGG
rnacentral:rRNA from 1 species